UACAGAGGGUGCAAACGUUGCUCGGAAUCAUUGGGCGUAAAGCGCACGUAGGCGGCCCAGCAAGUGGGGAGUGAAAGCCCUCGGCUUAACCGAGGAAGUGCUUUCCAAACUACUGGGCUUGAAUACUGGAGAGGGUCGCGGAAUUCCUGGUGUAGCGGUGAAAUGCGUAGAUAUCAGGAGGAACACCGGUGGUGUAGACGGCUUACUGGACCACGACUGACACUGAGGCACGAAAGCGUGGGUAGCAAACAGG
rnacentral:rRNA from 1 species